rnacentral:snRNA from 1 species
AACAGUCAGCUCAGAACUG